AUCAUCUUUGCUCUCUCCAUCCUUGUUUCCCCAGAUUUUGGAGAUUGUUGACUAUUAUGUAACAGAUGGCCUGACAGACCUCCGACUCUUUGCGGUGAUGGCUAGCUUGGCGCAGAAAAUAGCAGCACUGCAGCAGAGUAUAAAUGAGCAAGGGGUUUUAUAUCAGCAGAAGAGAAAUCUGACAGAUACAUGGAUGGGGUGCCCUCAAGCUUCCAUCUGCCUUGUGGAAAACCCAACAGAAUAUGUCAUGGAAAAUUCCAGGGAAUUGUAAAAUCAGUGAGUAUCUCCUGAAGAAUGCAAGGUGUCUGACUGUUUUCACUUUGUC